GAUGAACGCUAGCUACAGGCUUAACACAUGCAAGUCGAGGGGAAACGGCAUUGAGUGCUUGCACUCUUUGGACGUCGACCGGCGCACGGGUGAGUAACGCGUAUCCAACCUUCCCAUUACUGUGGGAUAACCUGCCGAAAGGCAGACUAAUACCGCAUAGUCUUCGAUGACGGCAUCAGAUUUGAAGUAAAGAUUUAUCGGUAAUGGAUGGGGAUGCGUCUGAUUAGCUUGUUGGCGGGGUAACGGCCCACCAAGGCAACGAUCAGUAGGGGUUCUGAGAGGAAGGUCCCCCACAUUGGAACUGAGACACGGUCCAAACUCCUACGGGAGGCAGCAGUGAGGAAUAUUGGUCAAUGGACGGAAGUCUGAACCAGCCAAGUAGCGUGCAGGAUGACGGCCCUAUGGGUUGUAAACUGCUUUUGUAUGGGGAUAAAGUUAGGGACGUGUCCCUAUUUGCAGGUACCAUACGAAUAAGGACCGGCUAAUUCCGUGCCAGCAGCCGCGGUAAUACGGAAGGUCCAGGCGUUAUCCGGAUUUAUUGGGUUUAAAGGGAGCGUAGGCUGGAGAUUAAGUGUGUUGUGAAAUGUAGACGCUCAACGUCUGAAUUGCAGCGCAUACUGGUUUCCUUGAGUACGCACAACGUUGGCGGAAUUCGUCGUGUAGCGGUGAAAUGCUUAGAUAUGACGAAGAACUCCGAUUGCGAAAGGCAGCUGACGGGAGCGCAACUGACGCUUAAGCUCGAAGGUGCGGGUAUCAAACAGGAUUAGAUACCCUGGUAGUCCAAGGGCGAAUUCCACAGUGGAUAUCAAGCUUAUCGAUACCGUCGAU
rnacentral:rRNA from 1 species